GCCCUCUUAGCUCAGUGGUAGAGCGCACCACUCGUAUUGUUGCGAUAAUGGUGAGGUCAGUCGUUCAAUCCGGCUAGCGGGCA
rnacentral:tRNA from 1 species